UACAGAGGGUGCAAGCGUUAAUCGGAAUUACUGGGCGUAAAGCGUGCGUAGGUGGUUCUUUAAGUCAGGUGUGAAAUCCCUGGGCUCAACCUGGGAACUGCAUUUGAUACUGAAGAGCUAGAGUGUGAUAGAGGAUAGUGGAAUUCCCGGUGUAGCGGUGAAAUUCGUAGAUAUCGGGAGGAACACCGGUGGCGAAGGCGGCGACCUGGGUCGAGACUGACGCUGAGGCGCGAAAGCGUGGGGAGCAAACAGG
rnacentral:rRNA from 1 species